AUGGCGAACGUCAAUCAAGUUGCAGAUCCGGUCGCGCUGCCUUUAGUUCCUUGCCCGGACUGUGGAAAGCAGGUGGUGACGUUCGUGGCGAGGCGCGGCCAGUUCGAGGGUGAGAGGUUCUACAAGUGCCGCAAUCACGAUCCGGGAAGAGGAGGAUGCGAUUUCUACAGGUGGCAAGAAGCAUAUGCGGGACACCUGGCUGGGCUUGGACCGGCGGCACCUCCGCUGGCGCAAGUCAAUCCAGGAGAAAAUGAAUUAGCUCCAGCAAUUCAAGGUGGUCAGAUGCAGCCGGCGGACGGCGCGGCGGGGCAGCAGAACAGGGCACCGGAUGGAUCGCAGCUGCCGUCGGCGGCAAGUGGCGUUGCUGGAUCUCAUAUCCGAGCGGGGGAUGUUGGUCGACGUCAGAUCUCCUUCACUCUCAAUGCCGCAUCUAUCAAUCUUGUGGUGUCUCUUGGGAAUAUGGACAUCUGCAUCUGCAUCCUUGUACUGCUAGUGUGUUCCACGAUGAUGCGUGCGUUUGAUUAG
rnacentral:rRNA from 1 species